CAGAUGGAUGCAAUACACAUAUGUGGUCCACAAUUUCUAGCUCAAGUAUCUUGAAUGCUGUCUCUGAGAACAAGUCCUACUUUUACUUCAGACAUGCUGAAGGCAGAGCUGUGUGAAGUGAGGGCUCCAGCAGGGGAAUGUGGAACAGUCCAUGCCAAAGCAGUCUGGUAGCCUGGAGUGGAACCUUUGCAAUGACACUUGGACAAGUGAGAAAGUCUGAAUUUAAUUUCAGGGUUCAGAUUUAUUUUUAUAAUUCCUGAAAAGCAGAGACUUCCAAUAAUUUCUAGGAUACCUUUUAUGCAUGAAGUUCCCCAGAUGCCUGAAACAUUACAUGCUGUCUGCUGCUCCUGGUCUGUGUGACACAGGCUGAAGAGGAAGAUGAAGAAGACAGAACUUUAAUCCAAGAUUGCCUGGAACAAUUCAACCCCUGCUUUCUAAAAGGGAGCCAAGUGCAAGCAGCUCCAGGUGUGCUUGGUGUGGCAGAGCCGCAGGUCCCUGGCAGCUCCUGGGAACCCAUCCCGUGGGUUUGGGGAGGAACUAAUGGCUGGAAAGGAGGAAAUGGUCUGCAUGAUUUAACCUGCAAAGCUGGACAGAAAUAUCAGUCCUUGGACAUUAUUCUUCUAUUCCAAGGAAUCAUUAAUCCACUUGAGGGAGAGGCCAACGCUUGCUGUGGUGUUUUACUGGUUCAGUUCCAU